rnacentral:tRNA from 1 species
GCCGCUGUAGCAGAGGUUGGGAAUGCGGGGGAGUUGUGAUCCUCAGAUCGGGAGUUCAAAUCUCCCCAGCGGCU